UACGUAGGGGGCUAGCGUUGUCCGGAAUCAUUGGGCGUAAAGCGCGUGUAGGCGGUUCGGUAAGUCCGCUGUGAAAGUCGAGGGCUCAACCUCGAAUGCCGGUGGAUACUGUCGGGCUUGAGUACGGGAGAGGCGAGUGGAAUUCCUGGUGUAGCGGUGAAAUGCGCAGAUAUCAGGAGGAACACCGAUUGCGAAGGCAGCUCGCUGGAACGUUACUGACGCUGAGACGCGAAAGCGUGGGGAGCAAACAGG
rnacentral:rRNA from 1 species